UGCCAGCACGUAAUGGUGGAACUCAAGGGAGACUGCCGGUGAUAAACCGGAGGAAGGUGGGGAUGACGUCAAGUCAUCAUGGCCCUUACGGCCAGGRCUACACACGUGCUACAAUGGCGCGUACAGAGGGCUGCAAGCUAGCGAUAGUGAGCGAAUCCCAAAAAGCGCGUCGUAGUCCGGAUCGGAGUCUGCAACUCGACUC
rnacentral:rRNA from 1 species